CGGAAGGUCCAGGCGUUAUCCGGAUUUAUUGGGGUUUAAAGGGAGUGUAGGCGGUUGGUUAAGCGUGUUGUGAAAUGUAGAUGCUCAACAUCUGACUUGCAGCGCGAACUGGCUGACUUGAGUACACACAACGUAGGCGGAAUUCAUGGUGUAGCGGUGAAAUGCUUAGAUAUCAUGAAGAACUCCGAUUGCGAAGGCAGCUUACGGGAGUGUUACUGACGCUUAAGCUCGAGGUGCGGGUAUCGGAACAGGAUU
rnacentral:rRNA from 1 species